AGUAGUUUGAUCAUGGCUCAGGACGAACGCUGGCGGCACGCUUAACACAUGCAAGUCGAACGGAGUUUAUCGGAGCUUGCUUUGAUAAACUUAGUGGCGGACGGGUGAGUAACACGUGAGCAAUCUGCCCUUAAGAGGGGGAUAGCAGUUAGAAAUGACUGAUAAUACCGCAUAAGAUAGUAGUAUCGCAUGAUACAGCUAUAAAAGAUUUUAUCGCUUAAGGAUGAGCUCGCGUCUGAUUAGCUAGUUGGUGAGGUAACGGCUCACCAAGGCAACGAUCAGUAGCCGGACUGAGAGGUUGGACGGCCACAUUGGGACUGAGACACGGCCCAGACUCC
rnacentral:rRNA from 1 species